CCUACGGGUGGCUGCAGUGAGGAAUAUUGGUCAAUGGACGCAAGCCUGAACCAGCCAUGUCGCGUGCAGGAUGACGGCUCUAUGAGUUGUAAACUGCUUUUGUACGGGGGUAAACGCAGAUACGUGUACCUGUCUGAAUGUAUCGUACGAAUAAGGAUCGGCUAACUCCGUGCCAGCAGCCGCGGUAAUACGGAGGAUCCGAGCGUUAUCCGGAUUUAUUGGGUUUAAAGGGUGCGUAGGCGGUCGGAUAAGUUAGAGGUGAAAUCCCGUGGCUCAACCUCAGAAUUGCCUUUGAUACUGGUCGGCUAGAGAAUAGUUGAGGUAGGCGGAAUGUGUGGUGUAGCGGUGAAAUGCUUAGAGAUCAUACAGAACACCGAUUGCGAAGGCAGCUUGCCAAGCUAUUUCUGACGUUGAGGCACGAAAGCGUGGGGAGCAAACAGGAUUAGAUACCCGGGUAGUC
rnacentral:rRNA from 1 species